GACGACGGGUAGCCGGCCUGAGAGGGCGACCGGCCACACUGGGACUGAGACACGGCCCAGACUCCUACGGGAGGCAGCAGUGGGGAAUAUUGCACAAUGGGGGAAACCCUGAUGCAGCGACGCAGCGUGCGGGAUGACGGCCUUCGGGUUGUAAACCGCUUUCAGCAGGGAAGAAGCGAAAGUGACGGUACCUGCAGAAGAAGUACCGGCUAACUACGUGCCAGCAGCCGCGGUAAUACGUAGGGUACGAGCGUUGUCCGGAAUUAUUGGGCGUAAAGAGCUCGUAGGUGGUUGGUCACGUCUGCUGUGGAAACGCAACGCUUAACGUUGCGCGUGCAGUGGGUACGGGCUGACUAGAGUGCAGUAGGGGAGUCUGGAAUUCCUGGUGUAGCGGUGAAAUGCGCAGAUAUCAGGAGGAACACCGGUGGCGAAGGCGGGACUCUGGGCUGUAACUGACACUGAGGAGCGAAAGCAUGGGGAGCGAACAGGAUUAGAUACCCUGGUAGUCCAUGCCGUAAACGUUGGGCACUAGGUGUGGGGGACAUUCCACGUUCUCCGCGCCGUAGCUAACGCAUUAAGUGCCCCGCUGGGGAAAGUACGGA
rnacentral:rRNA from 1 species